GCCAGUGUAGUGUAGUGGAUUGAGCACUGGACUAUGACUCUGGAGACCAGGGUUCAAAUCUUGGCUCAGCCA
rnacentral:tRNA from 1 species